rfam:Nectria haematococca mpVI 77-13-4 chromosome 2 genomic scaffold NECHAsca_26_chr2_2_0, whole genome shotgun sequence.
GCCCGGUUAGCUCAAUCGGUAGAGCGUGAGACUCUUAUCUUGCGCAUCUAAAUGCAAGAGAGUACGCGAUCUCAAGGUUGCGGGUUCGACCCCCGCAUCGGGCU